rnacentral:rRNA from 1 species
GAUGAACGCUGGCGGCGUGCCUAAUACAUGCAAGUCGAACGAGGUGCUUUUGUAGCAAUAUGAAAGUAUCCUAGUGGCGAACGGGUGAGUAACGCGUUGGUGACCUGCCCCAAAGUGUGGGAUAACAGUCCGAAAGGAUUGCUAAUACCGCAUGUGGUUUUCGGAAUUAGAAACCGAUCUCUAAAGCAGCAAUGCGCUUUGGGAGGGACCUGCGUCCCAUCAGCUAGUUGGUGAGGUAACGGCUCACCAAGGCGACGACGGGUAGGGGACCUGAGAGGGUGACCCCCCACAAUGGAACUGAAACACGGUCCAUACACCUACGGGUGGCAGCAGUAGGGAAUAUUGCACAAUGGGCAAAGCCUGAUGCAGCAACGCCGCGUGUGCGAAGAAGGCCUUCGGGUCGUAAAGCACUUUUCUGGGAGAUGAGCAAGGACAGUAUCCCAGGAA